UGAAGUUUAGCAUGUGAUAACUCAUUGAAGCGUUUUGCUGGGCGGGGCGUCAGACGGUCAGAGGCGACGGGCGAGGCGCUAGUCGAGGCAAUGGCGAGGCGCGGGGAGUGAGGGACAGCUGCUGCAAGCAGUGCUAUGGGGGUAGGCUGCGGUUUUUGCUGAAAUCGUUAAAAUGGCUCAAAAUUUAUGGUUUACCUGUCGCCUUGUUUAUGUUCCAGAGCCUGGGAAUCGGGAGAAGAUAUUACUUACGUGUAUCGGCGCGACUUGAAGAACAAUGAUGGAGUUUUUGGAACUCGUAUACUGAAUUACUGAUUUUCUGCAGAUUUUUUGUUUUAAUUUUCUUGGUUUAGACUGAUUUUGAUUUAAUUCAGUCGAAUGUCAAUUUGAUUUAAUUUGGCAAUUGUAAUAAUUUGUAAUAAGAUUUUCACAGCUGGGUCUUUGUGUGAUGUUCUUGGCUGGGUUUUGUGUGAUGUUCUUGGCUGGGUUUAUGCGUUAUUUUUUUAGCUGUGGGUAUAUGUGUUUUCUUGGCUGUGGGUUUAUGCGUGAUUUUCUUGGCUAUGGGUUUUAGCAAUUUUUCG